rnacentral:rRNA from 1 species
GACGAACGCUGGCGGCGUGCCUAAUACAUGCAAGUAGAACGCUGAAGAGAGGAGCUUGCUCUUCUUGGAUGAGUUGCGAACGGGUGAGUAACGCGUAGGUAACCUGCCUGGUAGCGGGGGAUAACUAUUGGAAACGAUAGCUAAUACCGCAUAAAAUGGAUUAUCGCAUGAUAAUUCAUUGAAAGGUGCAAAUGCAUCAAUACCAGAUGGACCUGCGUUGUAUUAGCUAGUUGGUGGGGUAACGGCUCACCAAGGCGACGAUACAUAGCCGACCCGAGAGGGUGAUCGGCCACACUGGGACUGAGACACGGCCCAGACUCCUACGGGAGGCAGCAGUAGGGAAUCUUCGGCAAUGGACGGAAGUCUGACCGAGCAACGCCGCGUGAGUGAAGAAGGUUUUCGGAUCGUAAAACUCUGUUGUUAGAGAGAACAAGUGCUAGAGUAACUGUUAGCGCCUUGACGGUAUCUAACCAGAAAGCCACGGCUAACUACGUGCCAGCAGCCGCGGUAAUACGUAGGUGGCAAGCGUUGUCCGGAUUUAUUGGGCGUAAAGCGAGCGCAGGCGGUUCCUUAAGUCUGAUGUGAAAGCCCCCGGCUCAACCGGGGAGGGUCAUUGGAAACUGGGGAACUUGAGUGCAGAAGAGGAGAGUGGAAUUC